rnacentral:rRNA from 1 species
GGCCAGACUCCUACGGGAGGCAGCAGUGGGGAAUAUUGCACAAUGGGGGAAACCCUGAUGCGGCAACGCCGCGUGAGUGAGGAAGUAUUUCGGUAUGUAAAGCUCUAUCAGCAGGAAAGAAAAUGACGGUACCUGACUAAGAAGCCCCGGCUAACUACGUGCCAGCAGCCGCGGUAAUACGUAGGGGGCAAGCGUUAUCCGGAUUUACUGGGUGUAAAGGGAGCGUAGACGGUGAAGCAAGUCUGAAGUGAAAGGCGGGGGCUCAACCCCCGGACUGCUUUGGAAACUGUUUGACUGGAGUGCAGGAGAGGUAAGUAGAAUUCCUAGUGUAGCGGUGAAAUGCGUAGAUAUUAGGAGGAACACCAGUGGCGAAGGCGGCUUACUGGACUGUAACUGACGUUGAGGCUCGAAAGCGUGGGGAGCAAACAGGAUUAGAUACCCGCGUAAC